AGGUAUGCUUAGGGAGGAGCUUGCGUCACAUUAGUUAGUUGGUGGGGUAAAGGCCUACCAAGACUAUGAUGUGUAGCCGGGCUGAGAGGUUGAACGGCCACAUUGGGACUGAGACACGGCCCAAACUCCUACGGGAGGCAGCAGUAGGGAAUUUUCGGCAAUGGAGGAAACUCUGACCGAGCAACGCCGCGUGAACGAUGAAGUAUUUCGGUACGUAAAGUUCUUUUAUUAGGGAAGAAUAAAUGAUGGAAAAAUCAUUCUGACGGUACCUAAUGAAUAAGCCCCGGCUAACUAUGUGCCAGCAGCCGCGGUAAUACAUAGGGGGCAAGCGUUAUCCGGAAUUAUUGGGCGUAAAGGGUGCGUAGGCGGUUAAAUAAGUUUAUGGUCUAAGUGCAAUGCUCAACAUUGUGAUGCUAUAAAAACUGUUUAGCUAGAGUAAGAUAGAGGCAAGUGGAAUUCCAUGUGUAGUGGUAAAAUGCGUAAAUAUAUGGAGGAACACCAGUAGCGAAGGCGGCUUGCUGGGUCUUUACUGACGCUGAGGCACGAAAGCGUGGGGAGCAAACAGGAUUAGAUACCCUGGUAGUCCACGCCGUAAACGAUGAGUACUAAACGUUGGGUAAAACCAGUGUUGAAGUUAACACAUUAAGUACUCCGCCUGAGUAGUACGUACGCAAGUAUGAAACUUAAAGGAAUUGACGGGACUCCGCACAAGCGGUGGAUCAUGUUGUUUAAUUCGAAGGUACCCGAAAAACCUCACCAGGUCUUGACAUGCUUCUGCAAAGCUGUAGAAACACAGUGGAGGUUAUCAGUUGCACAGGUGGUGCAUGGUUGUCGUCAGCUCGUGUCGUGAGAUGUUGGGUUAAGUCCCGCAACGAGCGCAACCCUUAUUGUUAGUUACCAGCACGUAAUGGUGGGGACUUUAGCAAGACUGCCAGUGAUAAAUUGGAGGAAGGUGGGGACGACGUCAAAUCAUCAUGCCCCUUAUGACCUGGGCUACAAACGUGAUACAAUGGCUGUUACAAAGGGUAGCUGAAGCGCAAGUUUUUGGCGAAUCUCAAAAAAACAGUCUCAGUUCGGAUUGAAGUCUGCAACUCGACUUCAUGAAGUU
rnacentral:rRNA from 1 species